GGGUGCGGGGAAGAGAGGACAGGAGGGGAAAGACCACGCAGACGCUAAGCGGCUGCCAGGAGGUCAGCCCCGCGCGGGGCUGGGCGGGCCCGGGGCGCGGGGGCUGCAGGCGGAGCCCCGACGCGCCCAGCGCCCGCAGGCGCGGGAGAGCCAACCCCGGCCAGGGCCUUCCCGCAGCUCCUCUGGCUGCCUCGGCCGCAGCCCCCGGGGGCGGCAGGGCACUCGCGCGGCCGGGCCACCACGGCCAUCCCAGUCACCCCAGGCUCCCGCGUGUCCAGGCCGCGCCUCCCCCCCGCCCGCGGACCUGGCGACGUCACUGCGGCUCUGACGCGCGCUAAUGGAGGCACGGGCGGAGGCGGCGUUGCGCAGGCACCCUCCCGGGAGGUCCCGGUCCUUGCGGCCCGCGGCCGCGUUCUUGGCCCUCCUCCAGGGGAACCUCGAUUUUCCAAACUCGGGAAGGCAGGCUGUCCUUCGGCUACUGAUUAGGACGCGAGCGCCUGGUAAAAGAUUUUAACAAUGCCCGGAAAGAAAUAGCCGGACCCAGGAAAGACUAAUAAUAGCCGCCAGCUAGAGUUCUGCUCGUGUGCUCAGCGGUCUUAAGAACAAUAAUAACGACAACCACAAUAGCCACCAUUUAUUGAGCGCUUACUCUGUGCCAGGCACUGUGUUCAGCGCUUUGCAGGCAACAACCCUCGGAGGUAAGGUCACAAGACUGGUAAGUAGCAAUGCUGGGAAUCUACCAGGAGUAUCUGACUUUAAAGUGAUGUUCCCAUCACCCAUCACCCAGAAUGUACAAGGUGAUACAGCUGAACAAAAGAGCCACUAGAAGAGGAGGUAUGUGUCUGUCGUCAUCAUCAUCAUCAACAAAAGCUUCCCCAUUUGAUAAAGGCACUGAGCCUCAGAGACGUUAAGGAACUGCCAAGAUCACAGAGCCAGAAUUCAGCAGAGCCAAAAUUUCAACCAGCUCCACCUGAUAGAAGACUUCAGCCUCCCAAGGAGGAGUUAACGUGUCUCUCUCGGCCCAUGGCUCUGGCAUCAAGAGGGCACUGGUCCUGGCAUUUGAGUCAAGGAAGUAGGAGGCCCACCGGGAAAUGGAUCGCUCACAGAGCUCAUCCAUGACACGGCCUGGGCCUCCAGGCCUGUUCCAGCUUUGUGAUGUUUGCCAGAUGUUGCAGGCUUGAAAAUGGUGGUCCACCAGGAGGUUGCUACUGAUGCCUGGUUGGGGGGGUGACCACAUACACACAGACACGUGUGGACACACCAGCCUGACCCCCACCUUGGCCCAGGAGAGGACAGUGAAGGGAUGUUCAUUUGGCAGGUGAGUGGGAAGGGCUGGGUGGCUCCACUCUCUUCCCCCUCCCGGUUCUGGGGAGAUGCUCUGAUGUUUUCCUGAAGGGCUGGCUAUGGGCCUGGAGGCUUUUACUCUCCGUAAAGUCAAGAAGAAAGGACACUGGGAAACUCCUUCUCCAGAAUCAGUUCAGACUUGACCAGCCUCUCUGAGCCUCCGAGCCAGACGGUGGCUGAUGCCUUUGUGGACUCAUACUGAGUAAGGACAGGCUGCCUCAGAAACCUCAUCUCCAGAUCCCACCGCCUCCUGGAAGUCAACCUCCAAAUGACCCCAAGCCUUGCUCCAGGCUCUGAGUCAUGCAGAAUGGCUCCCUCCUGACAGCCCCAUGCCAUAGCCUGGUGUGGCUGCAGGAGCAUGAGUCUUGGGGCCAUCUGAGUCUCAGUCCAGACUGAUAGGAGCUGUGAGACCUGGGGCAAGUGACCCAACACUUCUGAGCCUCAGUUUCCUCUUCUAUAACAUGGAGGUAAUAACUAUACCCACAGAAGGUCUAGCAAAUGUGAGUGCUCCUGCCUCUUCCCUUUUUUCCUCCUCCUCCUGGACCUCCUUACCUCCACUGACCACUUGAACACCUAGCUGCAGGCCCUCAUUUCCCAGCAUCCUCCCAGCCUCUGAGCUUCUCAGAAGACAGUGGUUUUGCCACCCUUUGCUUGUGGCCUGCUGUGGGCCAGCUCCCCUGAGAGCAAAGGCCUCAGAGCUGGGCGACUGGGGCCGCACCCUCUUUGUAAACACUAGCUGGGCACCAACUGACCUCAGGAGGGAAGUGCUCGGCUGGGACCCUCCUCUUCAGCCCUGCCUGCCACUGUAUGUUCCAGGGGAAGCGCCAGGCCAAUCUGGCACCCUUGUACCCAGGCCGCCUCUGUCCUGGAAAUAGGCAUUUGGAGCCAAACCCUUGGUUGAAGGUGGAAGGAAGUUAACAGGCCUUGAGUGCUUCCCUCCUGCCCUCCCUCAGCCCCACCCUGGCCAUCCCAGGCAGGGCAAGUUGUCUCUAAUUUAAGUGUUUUUAAUGAUCAUGAUAGACAUACAUAAAGAGGACUUUACUAUUCCUCUUUGUUUCUUAAAAAUAAAGACAGGAAUUAAGUAUAACAAAAUAUUAACCAUUUUAACUCUGGGCAGUGAGGAUGUGUGUGAGUUAUUGCUCUUUGUAACAUUCUUUUCUGUAGUGUUUAAAUUUCUCUAAAUAAAUAAGAUUCAUACAGGUUUAUUGGAAAAAAAUUCGAAAAUGCCAAACAGUAUAAAGAGAAAAAUAAGAAUCACCAAAAUCUCUACUUUGGAAUCAGACCAUUAUAUAUUGGCUUAUCUUCUCCUGGUCUUUUUUCUAGCGUGUAUGUAUAUCUUUUUUUUAACUGAGAUAUAACUGGCAUAUAACAUUGUAUUCAUUUUAGGUUCACUUUAUUCUUUUUACCAAAAAAAAAAAAAUACUGUAGAAUUAUACUGUUUAACAACGUUUUUCCCCCAACAAUAUAUUUUGAACAGUUUCCCAUGCCCUUGAAUAUUAGUAUUUACUUAAUAUUAGUACACUUCUUUUCAGUCUUUUUUACCAUCUAAUCAUCAAUAAAGUAUAUUUUUUAGGAUUGGGACCCAUAUGGAUCAUACAUUGGGUCAUUUAUACCUUUUAUUAUUUUUUCUUAUCCUAAAAGUACUACUUCUGUUGUAGAUCAGUACAAAAUACAGAAAAGCAAACAAAAGUACGUGUGAAAUACUUGCAGCUUCACCAUCCUGAAGUAACCUCUGCUGACAUUUCAGUUUUUAACCUUCCUGUCCACUUUUCUACGUACAUAUGUAAAUAUAUGUAAACACACAUUUGAAAAUA